GGAGAGUUGGCUGAGUGGACGAAGGCGCACGAUUGGAAAUCGUGUUUGCGUUAAUAGCGCAACCAGGGUUCGAAUCCCUGACUCUCCGCCA
rnacentral:tRNA from 1 species